AAAGGACGUUCCUGUCAGAACGAGAUGAUCAUGAAUUUCUUUAGUCAGAGGGUGGUGAAUCUGUAGAAUUGAUUGCCACCAAAGGCUGUGGAGAGACAAUGGGUAUUUUUA